GCUCAAGUAGCCUAGUGGUUGGAGCGUCUGCCUCAGAUACAGGAGGUCGUGGGUUCGAUCCCCUGUCGAGUCA